CGGGAGUAGCAAUACUCCAGUGGCGGACGGGUGAGUAACGCGUGAGAAUCUGCCUUCUGGUCGGGGACAACCACUGGAAACGGUGGCUAAUACCGGAUGAGCCGAAGGGUAAAAGAUUAAUUGCCAGAAGAGGAGCUCGCGUCUGAUUAGCUAGUUGGUGGGGUAAAGGCUCACCAAGGCAUCGAUCAGUAGCUGGUCUGAGAGGACGAUCAGCCACACUGGGACUGAGACACGGCCCAGACUCCUACGGGAGGCAGCAGUGGGGAAUUUUCCGCAAUGGGCGAAAGCCUGACGGAGCAAGACCGCGUGAGGGAAGAAGGCUCUUGGGUCGUAAACCUCUUUUGUUAGGGAAGAACACAAUGACGGUACCUAACGAAUCAGCCUCGGCUAACUCCGUGCCAGCAGCCGCGGUAAUACGGAGGAGGCAAGCGUUAUCCGGAAUUAUUGGGCGUAAAGCGUCCGCAGGUGGCUAUUCAAGUCUGCGGUCAAAGACUGGGGCUUAACCCUGGAAAGGCCGUGGAAACUGAAGAGCUAGAGUGCAGUAGGGGUAGAGGGAAUUCCCGGUGUAGCGGUGAAAUGCGUAGAGCUCGGGAAGAACAUCGGUGGCGAAAGCGCUCUGCUGGACUGCA
rnacentral:rRNA from 1 species